rnacentral:rRNA from 1 species
UUUAACGGCCGCGGUAUACUGACCGUGCGAAGGUAGCAUAAUCACUUGUUCUUUAAAUGAGGACUAGUAUGAACGGCACCACGAGGGCUUUACUGUCUCCUCCCUUCAAUCAGUGAAACUGACCCCCCUGUGAAGAGGCAGGGAUACUACUAUAAGACGAGAAGACCCCAUGGAGCUUUAAACCCAACAACAGCCCAAACACCACCACCCCUAAAAGUUUUAACGGUAUUGCUAGUUGGUUUUAGGUUGGGGUGACCGCGGAGUAUAAACUAUCCUCCACGACGAACGGGCCUACCCCCUUACCCAAGAGCUACACCUCUAAGGAUUAACACAUUAACGUAAAAUGAUCCAAAUAUUUGAUCAACGAACCAAGUUACCCUGGGGAUAACAGCGCAAUCCAUUUUUAGAGCCCCUAUCGACAAAUGGGUUUAC